CCUGCCAUUCUUCUUCUCCUUCUAAAAUGCUGACUAAAAUCUGAACAGAGGCCGGAGCAGGGUAGGCUCUUCUUUACUUGUUUUUUUCCGCCUUUCUCGUUCGCCUCCCACAAGCAAAGGAUCGAUUCCUACCUACCCCACCCCAUCACGUGUUCUUGGUGCGCUCCAGCACAUGGCUCUCACCUGACAAACUUUGGGUAAUAUCCUUUGUACUCCGGUGAUCUGCCAUU
rnacentral:lncRNA from 1 species